AAACAUUCAGCUCUGUGGCCUUAGCUUUGCAAAAGCUAAAGAGGAUGUAAUCACAUCCAGUGUUUU
rnacentral:tRNA from 1 species